UGGGGAAUAUUGGGCAAUGGGGGAAACCCUGACCCAGCAACGCCGCGUGAAGGAAGAAGGCCUUCGGGUCGUAAAGCUCUGUCCUCAAGGAAGAUAAUGACGGUACUUGAGGAGGAAGCCCCGGCUAACUACGUGCCAGCAGCCGCGGUAAUACGUAGGGGGCUAGCGUUAUCCGGAUUUAUUGGGUUUAAAGGGUGCGCAGGCGGCGCGCCAAGUCAGCGGUCAAAGUUCCGGGCUCAACCCGGUGUCGCCGUUGAAACUGGCGUGCUCGAGUGCGUGCGAGGAAGGCGGAAUGCGUUGUGUAGCGGUGAAAUGCAUAGAUAUGACGCAGAACUCCGAUUGCGAAGGCAGCUUUCCAGCGCGCUACUGACGCUGAGGCACGAAAGCGUGGGGAUCGAACAGGAUUAGAUACCCUGGUAGU
rnacentral:rRNA from 1 species